AAACCGGUUGAUGCUAAGUGUCCGAAUCCACGGCGACCUUCGGGUCAAAGUGGAGGAGCACACGAACCGAUUCCGUAGUAGGCAAGCAAUGGGGUGACGCAGGAAGGUAGCCCAACCCGGGCGAUGGUAGUCCCGGGGUAAGGAUGUAGGGCGAGACAUAGGCAAAUCCGUGUCUCAUAUGCCUGAGAUCUGACGCCGAGCCGAUUAAGGCGAAGUGGGUGAUCCUAUGCUGCCGAGAAAAGCCUCUAGCGAGUUGUACAGCCGCCCGUACCCCAAACCGACACAGGUGGUCAGGUAGAGAAUACCAAGGCGAUCGAGAGAACUGUGGUUAAGGAACUCGGCAAAAUACCCCCGUAACUUCGGGAGAAGGGGGGCCGAUUGAUGUGGCGGGACUUGCUCCCUGAGCACCGGUGGCCGCAGAGACCAGGCCCAAGCGACUGUUUACUAAAAACAUAGGUCCAUGCGAAGCCGCAAGACGCUGUAUAUGGACUGACGCCUGCCCGGUGCUGGAACGUUAAGGGGACGGGUUAGCCACUUCGGUGGCGAAGCUCAGAACUUAAGCGCCAGUAAACGGCGGUGGUAACUAUAACCAUCCUAAGGUAGCGAAAUUCCUUGUCGGGUAAGUUCCGACCUGCACGAUGGCGUAACGACUUGGGCGCUGUCUCAACCACAGACUCGGCGAAAUUGCAUUACGAGUAAAGAUGCUCGUUACGCGUGGCAGGACGGAAAGACCCCGGGACCUUUACUACAGCUUGGUAUUGGUGGUCGGUUCGAUUUGCGUAGGAUAGGUGGGAGACUGUGAAGCAUGGACGCCAGUUCAUGUGGAGUCAACGUUGAAAUACCACUCUGAUCGUGCUGGCUGCCUAACUUAGGUCCGUGAUCCGGAUCAAGGACAGUGCCUGGUGGGUAGUUUAACUGGGGCGGUUGCCUCCUAAAAUGUAACGGAGGCGCUCAAAGGUUCCCUCAACCUGGUUGGCAAUCAGGUGUCGAGUGUAAAUGCACAAGGGAGCUUGACUGCGAGAGUGACGGCUCGAGCAGGGACGAAAGUCGGAAUUAGUGACCCGGCGCUGGCAAGUGGAAGCGGCGUCGCUCAACGGAUAAAAGGUACCCCGGGGAUAACAGGCUGAUCUUGCCCAAGAGUCCAUAUCGACGGCAUGGUUUGGCACCUCGAUGUCGGCUCGUCGCAUCCUGGGGCUGGAGUCGGUCCCAAGGGUUGGGCUGUUCGCCCAUUAAAGCGGCACGCGAGCUGGGUUUAGAACGUCGUGAGACAGUUCGGUCCCUAUCCGCCACGCGCGUAAGAGUCUUGAGAAGGGCUGUCCCUUACGAGAGGACCGGGAUGGACGAACCUCUGGUAUGCCAGUUGUUCCGCCAGGAGCACGGCUGGUUAGCUACGUUCGGAAGUGAUAACCGCUGAAAGCAUCUAAGCGGGAAGCACGCUUCAAGAUAAGGGCUCUCACAGGGUUAACCUGGUAAGGCCCCCAGCUAGAUGACUGGGUUGAUAGGCCGGAAGUGGAAGCACGGUGACGUGCGGAGCUGACCGGUACUAAUAG
rnacentral:rRNA from 1 species